ensembl:lncRNA
CAUGGCAACCGCAGCAUCAGGCGCGGCCGCCCCGCGGCGCCCUCGCUGCAAAGUCACCCAGCAGGCGGAGAGCGCUCGAAACCUGGAAAUCCGUUGCUAAAAUGCAUGCGCUGCUGCUUCCCGGGGCGGCUUCUCUCUGUCUUUGACCCGGAGACGUGCGAGUCACGGAGUGCACGGAGCUGGCGCCCUGAAGUCAGGCCGGCUGUUUCCCAGAUUGCCUCUGCCUCCCAAAGGCCCUGAGACCCCGGGCAAGCCGCUUCUCGCUGGGAGACUUGACCCAUGCUGCUGUAGAAUGGGAUCAUCACAGCGAUGUCGCGGGGUGCCAGGAGGGCUUACCACACAGAGCAGCCGCCCCCGCGCACGGCUGGUUAUCAGUCGCCGGCCAUAUCCUGGGGCGAAUCUCUGCUCAACCGUGGGGUCCCCUCGUUCAUUCACCCACCCACUCAUUCCAACGGCUCAGGGACUGGCAACCCAGUGUGAAUAAGGCCAAGUAUCUGCCCUCAUUCAUUCAUGAAAACGCUGUGCUUACACUCUAAGGAGGAGACAGGGAGUCAGCACGCUCAGCUACAGCUUCGCAUGUAGAAUCCUGUAACAACCUCAGUGAGAUACAGGAUUUUACGGAAGAGGAAACUAAAGCCAGAGGUCCAACACGCGCUGAGGGUCACCCGGCUGGCGGGCGGCACACGGGGGCGGUGUGACUGCAGUCUUGGCUCUUCAGCAGCUGCCUGACUUCCUCGCUGGGUUGGUUACCCGGGCCCUGGCUGACAGCUCAGAGGGCCGAUCCCUUCUUCCCAGUGUCUCUGGGCUCUCAGCCCCGCCGGGUCCAGGGGCAGGGCGGCGCCUGCGUCCUUCUUCCUUCCUUUACGACGGAGGAAACAGAACUCAGAGAGGGCAAGUGACUUGCCUGAAACCGCACAGCAAAAUGAGGCAAGAGAUGGGACCCAGUUCCGGCGGCAGGCCCUCACAAGGGGUCGGAGUAGAGACGGGGGCUGCAUGACGGCGGUGGAGGGCAUCGGGACUGCUGACACUUCCUGAGCAGCACCUGGGAAGGACCCAUCUUGCCCCAGCAGAGCCUUCCCUCCCGAGACAGAGGCUGCCAGAUAGUGGGCUGACCUUGCCUUAGAGCCUGCUCACCUCUCCCCUCACUGGAGCUGCAUGGGAUUUUAAUCGUGACCCCUAAAUAACAGCAGCUGCAGCUCAGGGCUCCACGAGGCUGGCUGUGCUCCAGUUCUGAUGUUCAGUGACUUCUCAGAGCCCCUCCCACCCUGAGGGGCCUCACCUCCACGCAGCAGUGGAACCAAGACUCAACCUCCUCAGAGACGAUGAUUUUAUCACCUGCAUUUUCAAGAGGAGGAAACUGAGGCUCAGAGCAGCUGCGGGGAGGGCGGGUCAGCCGAAUGGCAGAGCUGGCCCCAGCGUCCCUUUCCUGGGUCUCGGCCCUCGGAGCCUCCCUGGGGGUCACAAUAUCACCUGCACACCCACAGCUUUUGGGCACGUCCUCCUCACAGACUUACACGUGAGUUUCUUAUACGUUAGUCUGUUAUUUCAAAAAAGGGCAAACGAAGAAGACCCUGGAGUUCAGACACAAGUUCCAAGACUGCAGGUGUUUACGAGCCACCUGGGGGAGCGGAGUGGGGUUGCUGGAUGUCUGGUGGUCGGUGUCCAGCGCAGGGUCAGGUGCAAAGGAGUCUCCAAAAACUGUGCAGCUGAGAUCGCAGCUCUGUACUCUCACUAGAGACGCGCAGGCUCGUCUUGCUGGGACGUGACGCAGGUCACCGAGCAGGGGCCGUGACCAGAGGCGCAGUCGUGAGCAUCGGCUCUGCCCGCAUCACACCGAGCUGCCCCUCGCCAUCAGAGGGGGCUGUCACUCACUUUCUGGCGGUGGAGCCCGAGGCCACAAGUGGGCCCAAGGGCACACAGUCGGGAAGCGACGCUGCAGGGCGUUGUGCCAAGCGGUUGUGGCGCUUUCCUGACCGAACCGGAUGCCUGGGGUGGGGCGUGGGGGCCGCGGGCCUUUCCAAAGGCAGGCUCCCCGCCUCGCACCGCUGCGGGCCUGGGACUGGGGCACAGUGUUGGCGCUGGGACCCCCCCCUCACCCUAGCAGUCACCCACUCUCCCGGGUCACUCUGGAAAUCCCUGCGUGCACCCCUGCCCCCAUCUGGCCACCGUGGACCCCUAGAAGUGACCCACACGGGGAGAGAAAGCAGAGGCUCAAGGUGGCGGGGUGACGCUUCUCAGCCAGGACUCCCUGCCUCCCCUGGAAAAUUCCGCCCUGCAGGUGGACAGGCGCCUUCACACAGAGCAUCCCGCCUGCUGCUCGGGCCAGUGCCCAUCUGUGCCCCGGAAAGGAGCACACGGCCUUUGGCAGAGAGGGCGGGAGCACGGAGCCAACUGAUCCUCAGGUCACAGGACCUUCCAGGCUGGGGGUGGGGGUCCCAGCAUCUUCCUUCCCACGGGGGCAGCACGGAGCCCCUACCCUGCUCUAACCGUGGAAACACGGAACCGUCUGCAUUCUGACUUUCCAAAUCUCAAUCACAAAUCCUUCAAGGUCUGGAAUUGUUUCUCCCCUUCUCACUGAAGCACUAGAUUUUACAGAAGCAAAUCCUAACUGCACACGUAGCGUGAAAGGCUCUUCUCUUCAAACAAAGCUCCCUUGACCGCUCCCCCAGUUUUCACUGCCCUCAGCUGUCUCCGCUGACCUCCCCGCUCUGAUCUGUUAGGACGGGCCCUUUCAGAAGGUUUUCUGUGUCUUUAGCUAUGUACACAUGCCUACAGAAAGAAACGAGUAUUAUGAAGACCCUAAACAGCGGUAUCAUGUUCAGUUAGGAAAUAAAAAUUGUGAGCACAUCAAAAGGC